UACGAAGGGGGCUAGCGUUGUUCGGAAUCACUGGGCGUAAAGCGCACGCAGGCGGAUUGAUAAGUCAGGGGUGAAAUCCCGGAGCUCAACUUCGGAAUUGCCUUUGAUACUGUCUGUCUUGAGUCCGGGAGAGGUGAGUGGAAUUCCUAGUGUAGAGGUGAAAUUCGUAGAUAUUCGGAGGAACACCAGUGGCGAAGGCGGCUCACUGGUCCAUUACUGACGCUGAGGUGCGAAAGCGUGGGGAGCAAACAGG
rnacentral:rRNA from 1 species